rnacentral:rRNA from 1 species
UACGUAGGGCGCAAGCGUUGUCCGGAAUUAUUGGGCGUAAAGAGCUCGUGAGGCGGCCUGUUGCGUCCGCUGUGAAAUCCCGGGGCUCAACCCCGGGCCUGCAGUGGGUACGGGCAGACUAGAGUGCGGUAGGGGAGAUUGGAAUUCCUGGUGGUAGCGGUGGAAUGCGCAGAUAUCAGGAGGAACACCAAUAGCGAAGGCAGCUCGCUGGGACGUUACUGACACUGAGGCGCGAAAGCGUGGGGAGCGAACAGGAU